rnacentral:rRNA from 1 species
CCUACGGGGGGCAGCAGUGGGGAAUAUUGGACAAUGGGGGGAACCCUGAUCCAGCCAUGCCGCGUGUGUGAAGAAGGCCCUCGGGUUGUAAAGCACUUUCAGUGUGGAAGAACGCCUGGUGGUUAAUACCCAUCAGGAAAGACAUCACUCACAGAAGAAGCACCGGCUAACUCCGUGCCAGCAGCCGCGGUAAUACGGAGGGUGCGAGCGUUAAUCGGAAUUACUGGGCGUAAAGCGCGCGUAGGUGGCUUGAUAAGCCGGUUGUGAAAGCCCCGGGCUCAACCUGGGAACGGCAUCCGGAACUGUCAAGCUAGAGUGCAGGAGAGGAAGGUAGAAUUCCCGGUGUAGCGGUGAAAUGCGUAGAGAUCGGGAGGAAUACCAGUGGCGAAGGCGGCCUUCUGGACUGACACUGACACUGAGGUGCGAAAGCGUGGGUAGCAAACAGGAUUAGAUACCCCAGUAGUC